rnacentral:ncRNA from 4 species
UACGAAGGGGGCUAGCGUUGCUCGGAAUCACUGGGCGUAAAGGGCGCGUAGGCGGCCGAUCAAGUCAGGGGUGAAAGCCUGUGGCUCAACCACAGAAUUGCCUUUGAUACUGUUUGGCUCGAGACCGGAAGAGGUUGGUGGAACUGCGAGUGUAGAGGUGAAAUUCGUAGAUAUUCGCAAGAACACCAGUGGCGAAGGCGGCCAACUGGUCCGGUUCUGACGCUGAGGCGCGAAAGCGUGGGGAGCAAACAGG